rnacentral:rRNA from 1 species
UACGGAGGGUGCAAGCGUUGUCCGGAAUCACUGGGCGUAAAGGGCGCGUAGGCGGCUCAUGAAGGCUGUGGUGAAAACCCGAGGCUCAACCUCGGGCCUGCAGUGGGUACGGGCAGACUAGAGUGCGGUAGGGGAGAUUGGAAUUCCUGGUGUAGCGGUGGAAUGCGCAGAUAUCAGGAGGAACACCAAUGGCGAAGGCAGAUCUCUGGGCCGUAACUGACGCUGAGGAGCGAAAGCAUGGGGAGCGAACAGG